CCUACGGGGGACAGCAGUGGGGAAUAUUGGACAAUGGGGGGAACCCUGAUCCAGCCAUGCCGCGUGUGUGAAGAAGGCCCUCGGGUUGUAAAGCACUUUCAGUGAGGAAGAACGCCUGGUGGUUAAUACCCAUCAGGAAAGACAUCACUCACAGAAGAAGCACCGGCUAACUCCGUGCCAGCAGCCGCGGUAAUACGGAGGGUGCGAGCGUUAAUCGGAAUUACUGGGCGUAAAGCGCGCGUAGGUGGCUUGAUAAGCCGGUUGUGAAAGCCCCGGGCUCAACCUGGGAACGGCAUCCGGAACUGUCAAGCUAGAGUGCAGGAGAGGAAGGUAGAAUUCCCGGUGUAGCGGUGAAAUGCGUAGAGAUCGGGAGGAAUACCAGUGGCGAAGGCGGCCUUCUGGACUGACACUGACACUGAGGUGCGAAAGCGUGGGUAGCAAACAGGAUUAGAUACCCCGGUAGUC
rnacentral:rRNA from 1 species